rnacentral:rRNA from 1 species
UGGGGAAUUUUGGACAAUGGGCGAAAGCCUGAUCCAGCAAUGCCGCGUGUGUGAAGAAGGCCUUCGGGUUGUAAAGCACUUUUGUCCGGAAAGAAAUCCUUGGCUCUAAUACAGUCGGGGGAUGACGGUACCGGAAGAAUAAGCACCGGCUAACUACGUGCCAGCAGCCGCGGUAAUACGUAGGGUGCAAGCGUUAAUCGGAAUUACUGGGCGUAAAGCGUACGCAGGCGGUUUGCUAAGACCGAUGUGAAAUCCCCGGGCUCAACCUGGGAACUGCAUUGGUGACUGGCAGGCUAGAGUAUGGCAGAGGGGGGUAGAAUUCCACGUGUAGCAGUGAAAUGCGUAGAGAUGUGGAGGAAUACCGAUGGCGAAGGCAGCCCCCUGGGCCAAUACUGACGCUCAUGCACGAAAGCGUGGGGAGCAAACAGGAUUAGAUACCCUGGUAGUCCACGCCCUAAACGAUGUCAACUAGUUGUUGGGGAUUCAUUUCCUUAGUAACGUAGCUAACGCGUGAAGUUGACCGCCUGGGGAGUACGGUCGCAAGAUUAAAACUCAAAUGAAUUGACGGGGUCAUAGCUGUUUCCU